UUUCAUACUAUUGCAGAGCCACCAAUUCUAAUUAUAGCCGUCGGAUUAGUGAUGGAAGAGCUAAUCCGAUGUUGAGAAAAAACUUCAUUCAAUAUACCCCCUUCAGAGUUCAUUUAGAUCUAGAUCUGGAAGUUUCUCCUCUCAUCUCUCUCUCUCUCUCGACCUAAACAAGAUCUAGUUUUUUCUCCCCUCCUCCUAAUUUUCGAUCUCUCUCCUCUCUAGUGUUUUCAAUCUUCUGCGUGACUGCUUUCAAUUGUGAUGUGGCCAGGGAGGCCACGAAGUUCUUGACUUGGAGGAAGCAGUUCAAGCACGGCUGCGGCGACUUCAAACCUAACGUCAACAAUGCUCUCAAGAUGUUCUUGAAGGCUGCCGAGCUUGGGUCCACGAAGGCGAUGGUCGAUGCCAGACUCAUAUUCUGGGAGAGAGGCGACAAGGUUAAGGUGUUUGGGUUGUACCGGGAAGCUGCCAAGGCCGGUGACCGGAAUGUGCAGGGCAAUUUGGGAAUGUGGUAUUUACAAGAAGAAAUUUUUGGUGUGUUGAAGUGAAAUAGCUUUCGCUGCGUACGUUUGAGAACAUGCAGUAUGGAGAAGGGUUUAUACUUAUAGUUUUCUUUACAAAACAGAAUACAUGAAACCUAAUACAGAGACAUAAUUGGGUGAUCCAAGCAUAUACCAGAGCUGAAUCUUAUGAUAGGUAGUGUUGUUUCAAUUUUUUUUUGGUGUGUUUUAUACUGUGUUCUUUCAAUUUUUCUUUUCUGAUAAUGUGGAUUUUUGACAAAUUAGUUGUUGUUUCAAGUUCAAGAUUUAAUUUUCUUUGGUUUCUAUUAUGAUACUGGUCAUUCCCUCAUUGUUUUAAAAUGAUAUGUAUAGUGCAAGAUGUUGCUGAGUUACUUGGUAUGAUGGUUGAAGACCACAAGCGGUUGCAGCCUAAUGCGAAAACCUAUGCGAUUUUGAGCAGAAAGUAUCAAACACUGGUGAGCUCAAGGGUUGAACCUUUGCAAGAGGAAGCUGAACUUGGACAUGAGAUUGAUUACAUGGCCAGGUACAUUGCAGAGGGAUGGCUUACUGGUGAAUGCAAGCAAUGGGUGCCUCGAAGAGGGAAAACUCCACAGAAAUACGUAGUUGUAGCUGGGUCAAAUUGUUAUUUUUUUUAAUAUAUCCCCAAGUUUUGCCAUUGAUGUUGGUGGCAUUGAGAACACACUGAUACAAUAACAGUGGGAGAGAAAAAGGUUAUGUUGCAUUGGGUUUUGGUAUGCCACUGUUGUUUUAAUAGUGUGGAUUGUCCCAAUAGCACCUCUAAUAGAGGGGACUGAUAUCUCAUUAGUAGCUGCAUAGUGGCUAAUGACAUUAGCCACUAUUAUCAGUGUGCUUUGUCCCAAUAGGGACUAAUUCAACUCAGUGUGCUUUGGGGAAAUUUGUAGUAGUGUGUUGCUUCUUUGUUGACCACGAGAUAGCUCCUGAACCCAUCAUAAACACAAACCCAGACGUAUUUCUAUCGUCCAUAUCAUCCGCUGUUUGAAACUACGAGUUUUGAGCGAACACCCGCAUAAUCACUAUCUGUGAAGCCAUACAAACUUGGACUUUGAAGCUUCUUAUAAAAAAUUUCAAAAUCAGCAGUACCUUUCAAGUAGCGCAGUAUCCUCUUCACCGCUAACAGAUGAUCCUCAAUAGGUUUCUCCAUGUACCGACUAACCAUACUCAUAGCAAACAUAAUAUAUGGCCUUGUGGUAGUAAAUACAUCAAACUUCCAACUAUCUGCUUGUAGAGUGUAGCAUUCACCUUCUUUCCUGACCCAUUCUUUGUAAACUUCAGACCCACUUCAGUUGGAGUACAAACCGAAUUGCAAUCCCCAUUUUGAAUCUCUGUAAAACCUCAAGUGCAUACUUCUUCAGUGAGAUAAAAAUUCCAGCUGAUGACUGCAAAAUUUCUAUGCCAAGAAAGUAACGCAUUAACCUCAAGUCUGUCAUAUCGAAUGCUCCAUCAUGGACUUCUUGAAAGCAUUGAACAGAAGGCUAUCAUUACAGCUUCCCGUGCAAAAAUGCCGACUUCACAUCAAGCUGAUAAACCGGUCAAGAGUUCUGAGCAGCCAAACAUAAGACCAACAACUCUAUAUCAAGCUUUGCUACUGGUGCAAACACUUCUUGGUAUGAAGAGCAAGGAUGACAAAAAGAAGGAAAAAGAGAGGAAAAGGAUUGAAGGUGCUUUGCAAUCCUAAAAACUGAAGCAGCCUCUGAGGAAUGGCUAACUUUGAGGAUUAAACUGUACUGAUCCAGAGAUAACCAGAAGACGAGCCUUAUAUGCACGGAAAGCCCUGAAUGUCUAGUUUCUGGAGAAUUUUACGGUUAGUGAUUUCGAUAUUCCUAGAGAGAGAUAUGGCCGUUUAAGUACAGGAAGUUCAGUCGAUACGCGGAUCUGCGACGUGUUUCCAAGAGCUCGAGUUUUCAAGGCCUGAAUGACUUGGCAAAAUUCUGAGAAGAUUGAUCUA